AUUUCACAGGUGGUCAGGUAGAGAAUACUAAGGCGAUCGAGUGAACCAUGGUUAAGGAACUCGGCAAAAUGCCCCCGUAACUUCGGGAGAAGGGGGGCCGCUCGACGUGAAGGGACUUGCUCCCAGAGCGUUGGACGGCCGCAGAGUCCAGCGAGAAGCGACUGUUUACUAAAAACACAGGUCCGUGCGAAGUCGCAAGACGAUGUAUACGGACUGACGCCUGCCCGGUGCUGGAAGGUUAAGAGGACGGGUUAGCACUUCGGUGCGAAGCUCAGAAUUUAAGCCCCAGUAAACGGCGGUGGUAACUAUAACCAUCCUAAGGUAGCGAAAUUCCUUGUCGGGUAAGUUCCGACCUGCACGAAUGGCGUAACGACUUCUCGACUGUCUCAACCGUGGACUCGGCGAAAUUGCACUACGAGUAAAGAUGCUCGUUACGCGCGGCAGGACGGAAAGACCCCGGGACCUUUACUAUAGCUUGAUAUUGGUGUUCGGUUCGAAUUGUGUAGGAUAGGUGGGAGACUUUGAAGCGGGCACGCCAGUGUCUGUGGAGUCAACGUUGAAAUACCACUCUGUUCGAAUUGGAUGUCUAACCUCGGUCCGUAAUCCGGAUCAGGAACAGUGUCAGGUGGGUAGUUUGACUGGGGCGGUCGCCUCCUAAAAUGUAACGGAGGCGCCCAAAGGUUCCCUCAGCCUGGUUGGCAAUCAGGUGUUGAGUGCAAGUGCACAAGGGAGCUUGACUGUGAGACUGACAGGUCGAGCAGGAGCGAAAGCUGGGACUAGUGAUCCAGCACUGGCUUGUGGAAGCGGUGUCGCUCAACGGAUAAAAGGUACCCCGGGGAUAACAGGCUGAUCUUCCCCAAGAGUCCAUAUCGACGGGAUGGUUUGGCACCUCGAUGUCGGCUCGUCGCAUCCUGGGGCUGGAGUAGGUCCCAAGGGUUGGGCUGUUCGCCCAUUAAAGCGGUACGCGAGCUGGGUUUAGAACGUCGUGAGACAGUUCUGUCCCUAUCCGCCGCGCGCGCAGGAGUCUUGAGAAAGGCUGUCCCUAGUACGAGAGGACCGGGACGGACGAACCUCUGGUGUGUCAGUUGUCGUACCAACGGCACUGCUGAUUAGCUACGUUCGGAAGGGAUAACCGCUGAAAGCAUCUAAGCGGGAAGCUCGUUUCAAGAUGAGGACUCCCAUCCUUUAUGGAGUAAGGCCCCCGGCUAGACCACCGGGUUGAUAGGCCAGAAGUGGAAGUGCAGUAAUGCAUGUAGCUGACUGGUACUAAUAGGCCGAGGACUUGCC
rnacentral:rRNA from 1 species